GGUCAAGCUACCAAGGGCAUACGGGGGAUGUCUUGGUGUCAGGAGGCGAUGAAGGGCGUGAAAGUCUGCGAAAAGCUUGGGUGAGUCGACAAAUAGGCGUUGAACCCAGGAUUCCCGAAUUAGCUUACGCUGAAUACAUAGGCGUAAGUGGCCAACCCGGUGAACUGAAACA
rnacentral:rRNA from 1 species